ACCAGACGAUGCGGUUACCGCGGCUGCUGGCACGGAGUUAGCCGGUGCUUCUUCUGUGAGUGAUGUCCUUCCUGCCGGUUAUUGACCCGCAGGCCUUCUUCCUCACUGAAAGUGCUUUACAACCCGAAGGCCUUCUUCACACACGCGGCAUGGCUGGAUCAGGGUUGCCCCCAUUGUCCAAUAUUCCCCACUGCUGCCUCCCGUAGGAGUCUGGGCCGUGUCUCAGUCCCAGUGUGGCUGAUCAUCCUCUCAGACCAGCUACGGAUCGUCGCCUUGGUGAGCCGUUACCUCACCAACCAGCUAAUCCGACAUAGGCUCAUCCGAUAGCGCGAGGCCCGAAGGUCCCCCGCUUUCCCCCGUAGGGCGUAUGCGGUAUUAGCCUGGGUUUCCCCAGGUUAUCCCCCACUACCGGGCAGAUUCCUAUGCAUUACUCACCCGUCCGCCGCUCGCCACCAGGGAGCAAGCUCCCCGUGCUGCCGCUCGACUUGCAUGUGUUAGGCCUGCCGCCAGCGUUCAAU
rnacentral:rRNA from 1 species